rnacentral:lncRNA from 1 species
AUGGCUGGAGGUCAUAGGAAGGAGCUGUUCCCUAUAUCACUAAUUUCAUAUGGGAAAUGGUGUGGCCUCUUUUCAGGGGAGGUAACAGCAUAUCUGUCCACCACAUCCUGGGCCCAGCCCCCAACUAUGGUUGACCCUUCCUUCAAUGUAGCUGAGACCAAUCAACAGAGGAAAUGGCUAAUGCCGUUCUUGCAAGACAAGGGUCAGGCUGAGCCCUCACUGUUUACCGUUGCUGUUGAUGAGGAGACCAGCAGCUGGGUUGAGGCCAGGAAGAACUCGAGCUACGUGGGCAGACAGCAAGGGGAAGGUGCCCAGUCAGCAGGGAGCCAGUGUCUGGUGAAAUCAACAGCAGGUCCAGCAGGUUGUGAUCUGCAAAAGAGGUCUUGUCCCCCACGAGAAAGGCCUAGCUUCCCUGGUUCUGGUUCAGCAGGGUCUCAAAAGGAUUCAGCUGGAUGUGCAGAUCCUUCAAUACCUGUCCUGUCCUUCUCGUAAUUCUGGUAGAUGAGGAAAAGGUACGUGAGCUGGGGGGUCCUCCACCCCAGCAUUAGCCAUGUCCAAGACAGCAGCUUCUUCAGUGUCCCUCCCAUAGAUCUCAGGGUGGCAUUACGCUGAGUCUCCAUCUGUGAAUUUGAGGAGCUGGCCACAGAGACAGCUGGCCUUGAGGUCCCCCUUCAUCCACAUGUCUUUGGUCAUUGUGUCCUCUUUCCUCAUAUGGUCUUGGUCAGCCAGGAGCAUCCGGAUAACCUUGCAUCGCCCUUGGACAGGGACAUAGGUGAUGGAGCAGGAAGCCAUCUCUGGAGAGAGUGGCACACAGGAACAAGUGUGAGCAGGAAGCCACCGUCUCCCUUCUAACCGGGGUCCGGUGCCACUCUGAAGAGGCCUGGCCCUGAUUUGUUAUGCAAUUGGCAUUCAUUGCUUAAUGGACAGGUGUGCUUAGAAGCUUGGACCUUUGUUUCCUUAGUUAUUUCAUCUUUCACCCAUCACAUAUGUUAAUGACAAAAAUCACGAGGAAAUAACAGAAAGAAAAGUUUCAUUCUUAAUAAAUACAAAAUGAAUCCUCUCUCA